UUUAAUUUUGCAUUUAAAGUAUUAAAUUCACUAGUUGUAAGAUUUUAAACGCGUUAUUCGGUUUUAGAAGAGCAAAAUUAAGCGGAGAAGGAAAUUUUCCUUUCCAACCGAUGCUUAAUUGUAUACUGAUCAAUUUCGCCCCAAAGUGGCAUUUCAAUUUGGAUUCCAGCUUUCCACGCUCGCCAUAAUGGCGGAUGCUAUAAAAUAAUUUGACAAUAUCUGUGCCCCAGUUAACGCAACGACUUAUUUUAUCCAUGGCAACCAUUGAAAAACAUUAUUUUUCUCUUGUCAACGGAAAACGAAUCAGGCAAAAGUUUGGCCUGAAAACUGAACCAAUGAACAUAUUCAGCUUCUAACCAUUUCUGGUUCGGCUCUCUUGGCUCUCGAGGAUGGCACCGGAACCCAGAGGAGCAACCGGUCAAACCCCCAUGCUGCUGGUCUGACAAACGGCAUCCGGCGGAGUGAAAGGUGUGUGCGGAGUGGCGAUUUCAACAACAUUGGUAUUGCUUCGGCGAGGAGGGCUGUUUACUGGGCUGACGACGGAUACCGACCUGAGGGUGGGCGGGCGUUGUUAGUAACGAGAAGGACUAGGAAUAGAUGCUGACGGUGAAGGCUAUCGCAAGCACAGACCGAUGAUGGUUCUCGAAGUUGAUUGGCGAUGCCGACGAAGAUCGCAACCAGUCAAGGAGAUCGCCGCUGGAGACCAAAACGUAGGCCAGUGAGGGCGGCUGCCGAAGGGGGUCGGCUAGAGCGGCUGGCGGUGAAAAGCCAAUAACAGCGGUUGCCGUAGACUUGAUCAGGAGGGCAAGGAGUUCUAUCCCGAUCAACUGUUCGUGGCCCAAUGUGAUAUCACAUUGUUCGUGACCAGCCAAGAAGAACGGCGCCAGACCCAAAACUGGUCAACGAGGGCAACCGCUGAAGGAGGGCCAUGAUGGGAACCUGUUACAUCCUAGAGUUCGAAGUGGCCGAGACACAUGGCAGUGUAAUGAUAACUCCAAAUGUAAACGAAACGAAUUGAAAAGUAACUUUAUUAACAUAAAAAAUUACAUGACUAUGGCACGCGACACGUAUACGGAAUGACGACUACAAUACUUUUAAAUCUAAUGUCUGCCUUUGUGCAUCAACCGAUCGCAUAUUAAAAUGUUAUCGGUAAGCAACCUGAGUGACGAAAGACGCAAGAUUGUUCAGUGGUUCUCAACAAAAGCCAAUUAAACAGAGGUUGCCAUAGAACGUCCGUGGCCAUGCGGCGGCACAACUGUGGAGAUAUGGGCGGAAGACUAUCCGUCCGCCAGUACCGGGGUUGCUCUUCGGGAACCUCUGGUGAGUCGAAGUCGCAGAUUUAGUUAGAUGGGGAACUCCACUUGCACGUUAUGGGCAUUCGUUUACUGCGUCUCGGUACUUGGCAAACACCACACACACACACACACACACACACACACACACACACACACACACACACACACACACACACACACAUACACACACACACACACACACACACACACACACACACACACACACACACACACACACACACACACACACACACACACACACACACACACACACACACACACACACACACAUACA